GAUGAACGCUGGCGGCGUGCUUAACACAUGCAAGUCGAACGAGGAACCUUGAUUCGAUUCUUCGGAUGAAGAUCUUGGUGACUGAGUGGCGGACGGGUGAGUAACGCGGGGGUAACCUGCCUCAUACAGGGGGUUAAAAGUUAGAAAUGAGUGCUACUACCUCAUAAGCCGCCAGAACCGCAUGGUGCAGGGGUAAAAGCUCCGGUGGUAUUAUAUGUGCCCGCGUCUGAUUAUGUAGGUGGGGGGGUAACGGCCAACCAAGCCGACGCUCAGUAGCCCACCUGGGAGGGUGACCGGCCACGGUGGGACUGUGACACCGCCCAAACUCCUACGGGCGGCAGCGGUGGGGAAUAGAGCACAAGGGGGGCAAUCCUGAUGCAGCGAUGCCUGGUGAGUGAUGAUUUACGUCGGGAUGUAAAGUUCUAUCAGCAGGGAAGAAAAUGACGGUACCUGACUAAGAAGCACCGGCUAAAUACGUG
rnacentral:rRNA from 1 species